rnacentral:ncRNA from 1 species
CAAAGGCUUGGUCCUGACUUUAUUAUCAACUUUAGCCAAACUUACACAUGCAAGUAUCCGCGCCCCUGUGAGAAUGCCCUACAGUUCCCCGCCCGGAAACAAGGAGCUGGUAUCAGGCACCCCCUAUUGGUGCCCACGACGCCUUGCUUAGCCACACCCUCAAGGGAACUCAGCAGUGAUAGACAUUAAGCCAUAAGUGAAAACUUGACUUAGUUAAAGCUAAGAGGGCCGGUAAAACUCGUGCCAGCCACCGCGGUUAUACGAGAGGCCCAAGUUGACAAACACCGGCGUAAAGCGUGGUUACGUGAAACCUAACACUAAAGCCAAACAUCUUCCAGGCUGUUAUACGCAACCGGAGACAGGAAGUUCAACCACGAAAGUGGCUUUAUCUAAGCCGAACCCACGAAAGCUAAGAAACAAACUGGGAUUAGAUACCCCACUAUGCCUAGCCCUAAACAUUGAUAGUACUACACACCCACUAUCCGCCCGGGAACUACGAGCAAUAGCUUAAAACCCAAAGGACUUGGCGGUGCUUUAGAUCCCCCUAGAGGAGCCUGUUCUAGAACCGAUACCCCCCGUUCAACCUCACCCUUCCUUGUUUAACCCGCCUAUAUACCGCCGUCGUCAGCUUACCCUGUGAGGGACUAAUAGUAAGCAAGACUGGUACAGCCUAAAACGUCAGGUCGAGGUGUAGCGUAUGGAAGGGGAAGAAAUGGGCUACAUUCGCUAUUACAGCGAACACGAAUGAUGCACUGAAACGUUCAUCUGAAGGAGGAUUUAGCAGUAAGCAGGAAAUAGAGCGUCCAGCUGAAAUUGGCCCUGAAGCGCGCACACACCGCCCGUCACUCUCCCCAAAGACGCAAAUCAAUUAACUAAAACCUAAUAAUUAAAAAGGGGAGGCAAGUCGUAACAUGGUAAGUGUACCGGAAGGUGCGCUUGGAAAAAU